rnacentral:rRNA from 1 species
UACGUAGGUGGCGAGCGUUAUCCGGAAUUACUGGGCGUAAAGAGCUCGUAGGUGGUUUGUCACGUCGUCUGUGAAAUUCCGGGGCUUAACCUCGGGCGUGCAGGCGAUACGGGCAAUACUUGAGUGCUGUAGGGGAGACUGGAAUUCCUGGUGUAGCGGUGAAAUGCGCAGAUAUCAGGAGGAACACCAAUGGCGAAGGCAGGUCUCUGGGCAGUUACUGACGCUGAGGAGCGAAAGCAUGGGUGGCGAACAGGAUUAGAUA